UACGUAGGGAGCGAGCGUUGUCCGGAAUUACUGGAUGUAAAGGGAGCGUAGGCGGGAUGGCAAGUCAGAUGUGAAAACUAUGGGCUUAACCCAUAGACUGCAUUUGAAACUGUUGUUCUUGAGUGAAGUAGAGGUAAGCGGAAUUCCUGGUGUAGCGGUGAAAUGCGUAGAUAUCAGGAGGAACACCGGUGGCGAAGGCGGCUUACUGGGCUUUUACUGACGCUGAGGCUCGAAAGCGUGGUUAGCAAAC
rnacentral:rRNA from 1 species